rnacentral:rRNA from 1 species
UACGUAGGGUCCGAGCGUUGUCCGGAAUUACUGGGCGUAAAGAGCUCGUAGGUGGUUUUUCGCGUUGUCCGUGAAAACUCACAGCUCAACUGUGGGCGUGCGGGCGAUACGGGCAGACUGGAGUACUGCAGGGGAGACUGGAAUUCCUGGUGUAGCGGUGGAAUGCGCAGAUAUCAGGAGGAACACCGGUGGCGAAGGCGGGUCUCUGGGCAGUAACUGACGCUGAGGAGCGAAAGCGUGGGGAGCGAACAGG